rnacentral:rRNA from 1 species
CCUACGCGAGGCAGCAGUGGGGAAUAUUGGGCAAUGGGCGCAAGCCUUACCCAGCAAUACCGCGUGAGUGAAGAAGGUCUUCGGAUUGUAAAGCUCUUUGAUCAGGGACGAACAGAUGACGGGUCCCGAAGAACAAGCCCCGGCUAACUACGUGCCAGCAGCCGCGGUAAAACGUAGGGGGCGAGGGUUGUCCGGAAUGACUGGGCGGGAAGGGUGGGUAGGCGGCAUAAUAAGUUAGAAGUAGAAUACCCAGAGCUUAACUCGGGUGCUGCUUCUAAGACUGUUGGGCUGGAGUGCGGGAGAGGUUAAUGGAAUGCCUAGUGUAGCGGUGGAAUGCGUAGAUAUUAGGAGGAACACCAGAGGCGAAGGCGAUUAACUGGACCGUAACUGACGCUGAGGCACGAAAGUGUGGGUAGCAAACAGGAUUAGAUACCCCGGUAGUC